rnacentral:rRNA from 1 species
AUCGGCCACACUGGGACUGAGACACGGCCCAGACUCCUACGGGAGGCAGCAGUAGGGAAUCUUCCGCAAUGGACGCAAGUCUGACGGAGCAACGCCGCGUGAGUGACGAAGGUUUUCGGAUCGUAAAACUCUGUUGUGAGGGAAGAACAAGUACCAAGUAACUACUGGCACCUUGACGGUACCUCACCAGAAAGCCACGGCUAACUACGUGCCAGCAGCCGCGGUAAUACGUAGGUGGCAAGCGUUGUCCGGAAUUAUUGGGCGUAAAGCGCGCGCAGGCGGUAAAAUAAGUCUGAUGUGAAAGCCCCCGGCUCAACCGGGGAGGGUCAUUGGAAACUGUUUUACUUGAGUACAGAAGAGGAGAGUGGAAUUCCAUGUGUAGCGGUGAAAUGCGCAGAGAUAUGGAGGAACACCAGUGGCGAAGGCGGCUCUCUGGUCUGUUACUGACGCUGAGGUGCGAAAGCGUGGGGAUCGAAACAGGAUUAGAUACCCGUGGUAGUCCACGCCGUAAACGAUGAGUGUUAAGUGUUG